rfam:Camelus ferus unplaced genomic scaffold scaffold875, whole genome shotgun sequence.
GGAGGGUACAGCUCAGUGGUAGAGCGCAUGCCUAGCACGCACAAGGUCCUGGGUUCAAUCCCCAGUCCCUCCA